rnacentral:rRNA from 1 species
GAUGAACGCUAGCGGCAGGCUUAAUACAUGCAAGUCGAGGGGCAGCAUGGGACUUCGGUCCUGAUGGCGACCGGCGCACGGGUGAGUAACGCGUACACAACUUACCUUCAGGAGGGGAAUAGCCCUGGGAAACUGGGAUUAAUGCCCCAUAGUAUAACUUAGACACCUGUCAUAGUUAUUAAAGUUCCGACGCCUGAAGAUGGGUGUGCGUCCUAUUAGCUAGUUGGUAAGGUAACGGCUUACCAAGGCUACGAUAGGUAGGGGGCGUGAGAGCGUGACCCCCCACACGGGUACUGAGACACGGACCCGACUCCUACGGGAGGCAGCAGUAAGGAAUAUUGGACAAUGGGCGCAAGCCUGAUCCAGCCAUGCCGCGUGAAGGAAGAAUGUCCUAGUUGAUUGUAAACUUCUUUUAUAAGAGAAGAAACCCCCCGAUUUAUUGGGGGCUGACGGUAUCUUAUGAAUAAGCACCGGCUAACUCCG